rnacentral:rRNA from 1 species
GAUGAACGCUAGCGGCAGGCUUAAUACAUGCAAGUCGAGGGGCAGCAGGACUGUAGCAAUACAGUUGCUGGCGACCGGCAAACGGGUGCGGAACACGUACGCAACCUACCCAAAACUGGGGGAUAGCCCGGGGAAACCCGGAUUAAUACCUCGUAACCUUUUUAAGUGGCAUCACUUGAUAAGUAUAGCUCCGGCGGUUUUGGAUGGGCGUGCGCCUGAUUAGGUAGUUGGUGCGGGUAACGGCCCACCAAGCCUGCGGUCAGUAACUGGUGUGAGAGCACGACCAGUCACACGGGCACUGAGACACGGGCCCGACUCCUACGGGAGGCAGCAGUAAGGAAUAUUGGUCAAUGGACGCAAGUCUGAACCAGCCAUGCCGCGUGAAGGAUGAAGGUCCUCUGGAUUGUAAACUUCUUUUAUGGGGGACGAAACCCGGAUAUUCUUAUCCGAUUGACGGUACCUCAGGAAUAAGCACCGGCUAACUCCGUG